GAACCGGUCCGAUCUAAAAACAC
rnacentral:snRNA from 1 species